UUUGAAUAGAUCUGCUUAGAGUCAUAUUAGUAUCUACUUGGCCCAUUGUUCAUGUCUUUUUCCUUACAGAUAAAUGUCGGCUUGAUGACCAUUAAAAGGGUGGUUUGAAGCCAUACCGUGGAAAAACUAUUUUCCUAACAACAGACCCUGACGCUACUGCCACAAGUCUGCUCAAUCAAGCUGUUAAAAAAUGAAGGACUUUAACAAAGAUCUAAAAGAUGGACCUUUCCUUCUGUAUCCGGAUGGCACUGAGGUCAUUACUGUCCCUGGAACACAAAGACCAUUUACACUUGAGGCUUAUAAGGCUGAAGUUGGCAAGCCUUAUCAAAGAAUCACUGUUUUCAUCUGCUUGAAGAGUGACUUUGAAGAUGUUGGAGAAAACUCAGACUUGUCUGACUCUGACCCAGAGAUUGUUAUUAAAAGGCCCUCUGAGUUUGAUCUUGCUGAUACACUGCCAUUGGAACUUCAACAUGAAAGCAGUCCUUUACAGAAAGCGGCAGAAUAUGAGAAGGGUGCUGGGGAUCUUGUGCUUGCUAAUGAAGUACAACAGAGACACCAAUUUGCAGGCACAUGGAAUUAUUGCAAAUUUGGCACUGGAACUUGACCACAAGAAGGUCAGCAGAUUCAAUAUAUCAAGGUCAGCUGUAUGGGAUGGAGCUGUUAGAGGAUUUCGACGCAGCACAUACUCUGACAACUACGACAUGUUCAUCAAGUUUAAUGAUGAUGCUGGCAGCUUUGAAGAAGGUUUGGAUACAGGUGGCCCGAGGCGUGAAUUCCUCACACUUCUUAUGGGCAGUCUGCGAAAUCGCCCCAUCUUUGAUGGACCUCCAGAGAGCCGUUAUCUUGUAUAUAAUUCAAGAGCUGCCAGGCAAGAUGAGUACUUUUAGCAGGAAAGAUGAUCGCUGUAUCCAUUGUGCAUGGGGACCAGCACCACAUUUCCUCUCCAAGAACCUGGUCAACCACAUCACAGGGAAUCAGAGUUUCAGCGCCACUGU
ensembl:lncRNA